rnacentral:rRNA from 1 species
AUUGAACGCUGGCGGCAGGCCUAACACAUGCAAGUCGAGCGGAUGAGAGGAGCUUGCUUCUCGAUUCAGCGGCGGACGGGUGAGUAAUGCCUAGGAAUCUGCCUGGUAGUGGGGGACAACGUUUCGAAAGGAGCGCUAAUACCGCAUACGUCCUACGGGAGAAAGCAGGGGACCUUCGGGCCUUGCGCUAUCAGAUGAGCCUAGGUCGGAUUAGCUAGUUGGUGAGGUAAUGGCUCACCAAGGCGACGAUCCGUAACUGGUCUGAGAGGGUGAUCAGUCACACUGGAACUGAGACACGGUCCAGACUCCUACGGGAGGCAGCAGUGGGGAAUAUUGGACAAUGGGCGAAAGCCUGAUCCAGCCGUGCCGCGUGUGUGAAGAAGGUCUUCGGAUUGUAAAGCACUUUAAGUUGGGAGGAAGGGUUGUAGAUUAAUACUCUGCAAUUUUGACGUUACCGACAGAAUAAGCACCGGCUAACUCUGUGCCAGCAGCCGCCGCUG